GAAGGAGCCUGAGAAACGGCUACUACAUCCAAGGAAGGCAGCAGGCGCGCAAAUUACCCAAUCCCGACACGGGGAGGUAGUGACAAUAAAUACUGAUACAGGGCUCUUUUGGGUCUUGUAAUCGGAAUGAGUACAAUUUAAAUCCCUUAACGAGGAACAAUUGGAGGGCAAGUCUGGUGCCAGCAGCCGCGGUAAUUCCAGCUCCAAUAGCGUAUAUUAAAGUUGUUGUGGUUAAAAAGCUCGUAGUUGAACCUUGGGCCUGGCUGGCCGGUCCGCCUCACCGCGUGCACUGGUCCGGCCGGGCCUUUCCCUCUGCGGAACCCCAUGCCCUUCACUGGGUGUGGCGGGGAAACAGGACUUUUACUUUGAAAAAAUUAGAGUGCUCAAGGCAGGCCUAUGCUCGAAUACAUUAGCAUGGAAUAAUAGAAUAGGACGUGUGGUUCUAUUUUGUUGGUUUCUAGGACCGCCGUAAUGAUUAAUAGGGACAGUCGGGGGCAUCAGUAUUCAAUUGUCAGAGGUGAAAUUCUUGGAUUUAUUGAAGACUAACUACUGCGAAAGCAUUUGCCAAGGAUGUUUUCAUUAAUCAGGAACGAAAGUUAGGGGAUCGAAGACGAUCAGAUACCGUCGUAGUCUUAACCAUAAACUAUGCCGACUAGGGAUCGGACGAUGUUACAUUUUUGACGC
rnacentral:rRNA from 1 species